rnacentral:rRNA from 1 species
UCUACGGGUGGCAGCAGUGAGGAAUAUUGGUCAAUGGCCGAGAGGCUGAACCAGCCAAGUCGCGUGAGGGAAGACGGCCCUACGGGUUGUAAACCUCUUUUGUCGGGGAGCAAAGCGAGUCACGUGUGACUCAUUGAGAGUACCCGAAGAAAAAGCAUCGGCUAACUCCGUGCCAGCAGCCGCGGUAAUACGUAGGGAGCAAGCGUUAUCCGGAUUUAUUGGGUGUAACGGGUGCGUAGACGGGAAGGCAAGUUGGUUGUGAAAUCCCUCGGCUUAACUGAGGAACUGCAACCAAAACUAUCUUUCUUGAGUGCUGGAGAGGAAAGUGGAAUUCCUAGUGUAGCGGUGAAAUGCGUAGAUAUUAGGAGGAACACCAGUGGCGAAGGCGACUUUCUGGACAGUAACUGACGUUGAGGCACGAAAGUGUGGGGAGCAAACAGGAUUAGAUACCCCUGUAGUC